rnacentral:rRNA from 1 species
GACAGAGGUGCCAAGCGUUUAGGCGGAAUCACUGGGCUUAAAGCGUGUGUAGGCGGAUUGGUAAGUACCUUGUGAAAUCCCACGGCUUAACCGUGGAACUGCUGGGUAUACUGCUUAUCUUGGGCCACUUAGGGGUUACCGGAACAAACGGUGGAGCGGUGAAAUGCGUAGAUAUCGUUUGGAACGCCAAUGGUGAAAACAGGUAACUGGGAGUGUGCCGACGCUGAGACACGAAAGCCAGGGGAGCGAACGGG